rnacentral:rRNA from 1 species
UACGUAGGUGGCAAGCGUUGUCCGGAUUUAUUGGGUUUAAAGGGUGCGUAGGCGGUUUCAUAAGUCAGUGGUGAAAUACAAUAGCUUAACUAUUGAGGUGCCAUUGAUACUGCGGAACUUGAGUACAGACGAGGUAGGCGGGAUUGACGGUGUAGCGGUGAAAUGCUUAGAUAUCGUCAAGAACACCGAUAGCGAAGGCAGCUUACUAGACUGUAACUGACGCUGAGGCACGAAAGUGUGGGGAUCAAACAGG